UACGGAGGGGGCUAGCGUUGUUCGGAAUUACUGGGCGUAAAGCGCACGUAGGCGGCUUUGUAAGUUAGAGGUGAAAGCCCAGGGCUUAACCCUGGAAUUGCCUUUAAGACUGCAUCGCUUGAAUCGUGGAGAGGUGAGUGGAAUUCCGAGUGUAGAGGUGAAAUUCGUAGAUAUUCGGAGGAACACCAGUGGCGAAGGCGGCUCACUGGUCCGGUACUGACGCUGAGGUGCGAAAGCGUGGGGAGCAAACAGG
rnacentral:rRNA from 1 species